AUACUAAUACAACAAUAUAUUUAAUAGACCCCCCCCCCCCCCCCCCCCCCCCGAAAAAGAAACCAAAACAGUUAAGCUUAAGGUCGACCUUUGGGUUUUUUCUUCGUACUCAAUAAAUAUAACAUCUUCAGUCUUAUUGUAAUUUGAGUUCAAAUUCAUACAGUACAGAUUUAUAAUUGCAAGGUUUUUCUUCAACCAGGUGCUUUAGUAUUUUUCAAACAAGCAAACAAAAAUAAUUUUUAAAUAGCAAUUUUCCAGCGUUCUAAAAACUGAAACGUCACGUACCCGAUUAUUCGUAUUGUAAGAGAUGCUAAGUGACGUCAUUGAAAUAAUGACGUCAUUAAAAUUCAAAAUUAGUUAGCCUAUAUUAUAAUUUUAAAAAAACAAGUCUAUAAAAUAGUUCAAAGUUAUAUUUUGAGCAGACAUUUAGAGAAUGAUGGGACGGACUACCUAAACCCGGACUGUUGAACCUUCGGACGAUAGAGCGGUCCCCGUCCGGGAAUACGGAAUAUAAAGAAACACCAGUGAUCCCUGGAAAAUCUCAACAUGCACAUCACCAUCUUCGUAAAUAAUAUGAUUUGUUUUCACAAUCUUGAAAAAUGAGAAGAAAACAAACAGUCGUCUGCUUCUAUUCUGUUCGGGAAUUCCGUCCUCUAUUGGAGCACCUGUGAAAAUUGCGACCCGGACUGUACAACCGGCAAUUUUU